rnacentral:lncRNA from 1 species
GCGGUCAAGAGCCCUCAGCCAUCCGAGUGGCUGUGAGAGAGCCAGCGGGCUGGGGUCAGCCUGAGGCAACAUGCAAAUCCCUAUGCCUCAGAGCCGUUGUUCAACUGAGCAAGAGAAAAGAUCAGCACAGAAGGCUGCAGGGUAAUCUUACACCGCUGAGACUGGCAAGGUUAAGGGCAGACACUGCAAGAGUACCCAGGGGCUGAAGAAAUUGCAAGUGCUAGACAUCGAGAUGGCUUUGAGCAACCCUGUGGCCAGUGUCCUCAACAGUAGUUCUUACCACAAUGCAGAAGACCUUCUCCUGGGACCACAUCUUACAAAGUCUUUUGAUUACAAAUAGUGGCAUAAUGACAUUAGCUGAUAAUUCAGUGGCUACUGUGACACUGAUGUGGUGAUUAAACUAAUGAAAUAACAGAACAAGCUCACAUUUAGCAGUCUCUUGAUAUGAAAGACAAAGUCAUGCUGAGAAUCCAGUGUACUUUCAUUAACAUGAGUUUGUAUUGAUUCCUGCAUCAAAUAAACAGGUCCUCAGCCCAAGAUCUUUGCUGUCAACUAGCCAUUUGGAUUUAAGUGGAGGCAAUGGAGGGCAGUUAAAAAUGUGCAGAGGGAAGCUUUGGAAGGAGAAACUAUCAGAAAAUGUGUUUGGGGAUGUUCUCUGAACACAGUUUACAAGAGAAAGGUUAAGGAUUGGGUAGGGUAUCAUCUAGACCUCUGUUAGGACACAUACCAAGUCUGCCGGGUCAUAAACACAAAUGUCUACAGGAGCCAGGCGGGUAUCAUCGCUGAGUGAACAGGCAGGAUGGGUGUCAGGAGGGAG